GCGGCCCUAAGGGCGGAGCUGGGUUCCUGACCUCGCGCUGUGGUUGUUCGUUUGUAGCGACCGGGUCCGCGAGAGGGAGGCUCUCGUCUUGGGUAAUGGAUUUUGAGAAUCUUUUCUCAAACCCCCCCAACCCUGCCCUCGGCAAAAAACCGGCCUCGGACUCUCACGAAAGAAUCGAUGAUGAAAUAGAUGAUACAGAAGUUGAAGAAACACAAGAAGAGAAAAUAAAAUGGGAAGUUAAUCUGGAGUGUGAGAAAAUUCCCAAAAAAUUUAGGCACUUUGGAAACUCUACAACGUCACCAAGGAGUUUGCCACGUAGAAAAUCAAGAAGUAAGGACUAUGAUGUGUAUAGUGAUAAUGAAAUCUGCAGUCAGGAAUCAGAAGAUAGUUUUGCCAAGGAGCUUCAGCAGUACAUACAAGCUAAAGAAAUGGCAAAUGCUGCUCAAUCCCUACCAUUUCCUGAAGAAUCUAUGAAGAAAGAGGGAGCAAAAGAUACUCAGCAGGCUGCUAAACAAAAAAAUAACAGUAUUAAAGCUGAUCACAAGAAUGGUAAAAAGAAGAAAAUGAAGCGAAAAUGGCCUGGCAGUGGAAACAAGGGACCAAAUGCUUUGCUGAGGAACAGUGGCUCACAGGAACAGGAUGGUAAACCUAAAGAGAAGCAGCAGCAUGUGAGAAUGAGUCAGGGAUUCAUCAACCAACAUACAGUGGAAUACAAGGGAAAACAAAUUUGUAAAUAUUUUCUUGAAAGGAAAUGUAUUAAGGGAGACCAGUGUAAAUUUGAUCAUGAUGCAGAGAUAGAGAAGAAAAAGGAAAUGUGUAAGUUUUAUGUACAAGGAUAUUGUACCAGAGGUGAAAACUGUCUGUAUUUGCAUAAUGAAUAUCCUUGCAAGUUUUACCAUACAGGAACAAAAUGUUAUCAGGGUGAGUACUGCAAGUUUUCACAUGCCCCACUGACUGCCGAAACACAAGAACUGUUGGCUAAAGUUUUAGAUACUGAAAAGAAGUCAUAUAAAUAAAAUAGACAUUAAAAAGAUGGACCCAAUGUGUAUAAUUCGUGAAACAGUAUAUUUAGUUUUGCUUAUGUUUAGAAUUCCUUUAGAUGAUAUUAUACUCUGUAUUACUGCGGUCCCCAACGCCUAGGCCACAGGCUGGUACUGGUCUGUGGCCUGUUAGGAACCUGGCUGCACACAGCAGGAGCAUUAUAUAGAUGAAGAAUGUUUAAGCCUAUGCCUGUUCAUGACUGGUGAUUUGGAGUAGUUUACAAGAUUCUUCAUUCAAAGCGCCCUCUUGUGUCAUUGGAAUGAUGUGCAGCUUCUUUAUGGAUGGGCAGAGGGCUGGGAUCUAGUGUACAGGUGUACAAGGGAUUGGUCUUCCCUGAAGUGUUCCUGCCGGUGGAACAGGAGAGCAGCAUAUAUGGCAGAGAUGCUGGCUGAUGGGUUGCAGAAGUCUCUUCUGAUUGAUUUAGUUUUCUCAAUAAAAUAGGAAGCAAGGUUAGGCUGAGUGAGGAUGGGUGAAGAGGUAUAGGAAGUUUGAGGAGAGAAAACUGCUAGGAAGACAUUGGCAUAAUAAGUGGACUAUGAAAAUAGAGCUAGAUCUCUUCAUGUCAUUAAACAUUUUCACAUGUUUUUAAUGGUUGCUCGCAAUUUCUUUUGAGAGUUAAAAUAUGGUUUUAUAAUAUUGUAAAUAAAUUUCCUGUUGGGCA